AUGAACGCUGGCGGCGUGCCUAAUACCUGCAAGUCGAGCGAACAGACGAGGAGCUUGCUCCUCUGACGUUGGCGGCGGACGGGUGAGUAACACGUGGAUAACCUACCUAUAAGACUGGGAUAACUUCGGGAAACCGGAGCUAAUACCGGAUAAUAUAUUGAACCGCAUGGUUCAAUAGUGAAAGACGGUUUUGCUGUCACUUAUAGAUGGAUCCGCGCCGCAUUAGCUAGUUGGUAAGGUAACGGCUUACCAAGGCGACGAUGCGUAGCCGACCUGAGAGGGUGAUCGGCCACACUGGAACUGAGACACGGUCCAGACUCCUACGGGAGGCAGCAGUAGGGAAUCUUCCGCAAUGGGCGAAAGCCUGACGGAGCAACGCCGCGUGAGUGAUGAAGGUCUUCGGAUCGUAAAACUCUGUUAUUAGGGAAGAACAAAUGUGUAAGUAACUAUGCACGUCUUGACGGUACCUAAUCAGAAAGCCACGGCUAACUACGUG
rnacentral:rRNA from 1 species